CUUAUCCAGAGAGGUGGAGGGAUUUGGCCCUAUGAAACCUCGGCAACAGACUUUUUUAGAGAACUGUGCCAAUUCCAACAAGCUUUUUGCUUGAAAGAUAAGA
rnacentral:ncRNA from 1 species